rnacentral:rRNA from 1 species
UACGUAGGUGGCAAGCGUUGUCCGGAAUUACUGGGUGUAAAGGGCGUGUAGGCGGGAUUGCAAGUCAGAUGUGAAAUUCCGGGGCUCAACCUCGGAGCUGCAUCUGAAACUACAAUUCUUGAGUGCUGGAGAGGAAAGCGGAAUUCCUAGUGUAGCGGUGAAAUGCGUAGAUAUUAGGAGGAACACCAGUGGCGAAGGCGGCUUUCUGGACAGUAACUGACGCUGAGGCGCGAAAGCGUGGGGAGCAAACAGG